UGCCAACACAGUCUAAGACUCAUUUCUUUG
rnacentral:piRNA from 1 species